UUUGCAAAUUCACAUCAUAAUGUAUCCCUUGGUCAAGGCAAUUAAGCCUAUAAAAGGUCUGUGGUGAGGUGAAAAUUACACCAAUUUCUGUAGUGGACCUGCUCCAAUUAAUGGUUUCAGCCUCAUUUUGAGAUGAGAUUAAAUUAUGUCCGCAAAAUCUGGGUAACGGCCUUCGAUCAAGUUCAAUAUAGCCGCGAUCCGUUCGGAGGUAGGACGCUAGUAGGUAGUCGAUACGAAAAGGACCACAUUCUAGGCACGACGGAAGUUGGGAAAUGUGUUCUGGAAGUUGAAUUUUGAACGGGAACGAGGCCGGGUUUUCUUCAAGAAUGAAUGGAUGAAGUUCUUCAGGGUCGAGUUCUUUCUUUAUUCCUGCAAUUAAUGUUUAAUUAAAAAUGAAUACAAGUUAAUUAAUAGAAAAGCUAAUUAAAAAUUAAACACAAGUUAACUAAUAAAAGUCUGAUUAAAAAUUAAACAAAAGUUACUUUAUAAAAGUCUAAUUAAACAUUAAAUGAGACGGAUUUAAGAAAAAUUUAGUGAAUUAAAAAUUGUUCCUUUCCCAUAGCAAUUAAUAUUCAGCAAGAUAUCUUGCCACGUCAACCCUACAAAUACAUAUGUAUUAAUGCUUUAGAAAUUUGCAAACAAUUUUCCUACAUCAAAUUAUGCCAACCUUACAAAUUUUAUUUUAAUUUCAUUUUUGAAUUCCUGUGGAGUAGCAAUAAUGAUAACCGGAAUUGAUUUUUGAUUGUUUGACGAAAAUCCGUCGUCGAGGUUACGGUUUUCAUUAUUGCCACUCUGCGAUGACUUAGUUAGUGUGUCUGUCUGUCAAUACGAUACAAAUUGCAAAUCACUGUAUAGGUUUUUUUUGCAACCACAACGGUACCUAUAAUUUGGUUCCACUCCGCCCCUUUCUCCAGAGGGAGGGCCAAAAGUCGCAAAAACGGCAAACGGGGACACGGAUUUCCAGAUGAUGGAAAAAUAUAUUGAAAUUCUACUUUUACCAAAAAAUUCCUGUUUUUUAUCUACAACCUGAAUCGUUUUUCGGAAAUUCUAAAAAACAAAUUCAGAAAAUAACUUUGGAUGACAAUUUCAAAUCUCACAUCACCCCAUAAAUAGGACAUCGGUGAAAAGCUCUCGGCAAGCGGAUUAAGAAAAUAUAUACUUUGUAGGGUAUGGGACCACGCGCUGCAAACAUAAUAACAAAAGAAUAUUUUUGAGUUUUCCCAUUCGUGCUUCCGUGUUAGCUCCCAAUCCACUGUCGUGUUAAAUUUUUGAUAGCUCAUAUUUUCGUUGUUUGCCCUCCAGACUUGCAGGAGGUGGUCCCAGACCCCACAAAGUAUUUAUAUUCUAAAUCCCCUUGCUGAUAGCUUUCCAACGAUAAUGCAUUUAUGGGGUGAUGUGAGAUUUGAAAUUUUUUAAGUUAUUUUUUGAACCUUUUUCGAGUUUCCAAAAACGCUGGAUUCGGGUUGUAGAGAAAAAAAUUAGGAAUCUUUUGGCGAAAGUACACUCAACACAAGAAUUUGUCAAAUCAACACCGCCGUUCUCAAUAUAAGACUUAACCGCCUUGGUUACUAUUGUUGGAAUCGUUAAAUGAGCUGGGAAUCCUGCCGUUCGCAGAUUCUCCCCACCACUACCCCUCUUUUGGGGGCUAGUGGUGGAAUAAGAGUCUCUUUCAGUUGCUACCUCUCAACAUGCACGCUUGGCACAGUUGGUAGCGCAUCCACUCUUCACCCGUGGCGGCGUGGGUUCCAUCCCCAGGCUACUCACAUUUAUUUUCGCUCAAUUUUUUUGCACUUUUAACUUGCCAGGACUAGAGGUGAGGGCGACCCGAACCGUACCCGAAAAUUUCCAAAACAAAAACCCGAACCAACCCGAAACCGCGGGUAAUAAACCCGAAAAUCAUAAAAAUGUAAAACCCGACCCGAACCCGAAACGGAAAUUUUGUAAUGACUAUUGGAGUUUUACUCCUAAAUUUAAAACCGUGUAAUAAUUAAUAAAGCCUCAAACCUUUUAUCAAAGAAGAAAAGUUAAUAAUUGCCAAAAAAAACCUGUUAAAAAGUUUGAGCUUACAAUAAAGUAACUCUUAAACAAAUAAAUUAAAUAAUCAAAUGCAGUUAAAUAAUGUGCAAAUAUAUUUAUGUACAUACAGUAUUUGCAAUAUAAGUACACAAUAUAAGCACAACAUAAGGACAUAAGUACAAACAUAAGUGUAUGCCUCCAAAUUAAACAAAUUUAGGGUUUUCGGGUUUUUAGGGCCCGAACCCGAAAACUCUUUUUCAAACCCGAACCGACCCGAAACCGUUUGUUAGGGUUUGUCAAAACCCGAACCGACCCGAAACCGUUAUCGUUGAAACCCGCCCGACCCCGAACCCGAACGGGUUCGGGUUCGGGUCGGGUUUACAGGGUUGGACCUGAACCCGCGCUCACCUCUAGCCAGCACUCAUAAAAUAAGUCUGGGGACAUGAGAAGAAUGUUCCGACACUGGUUAUAUGCUCCUCCCUGUCUUCACAUUUUAUGUAAUGAAUACAGCGUGAAAUAAUAUGUUACAAUGUAUAAAACAAUUAAUCAUAGGAUGCAAAUAUUCUAUGCAAAACCACAGCUAUACGUAAAAUCAUGCGCUGGAAAUAUUGCCACCAAAUGCAUUGCUGCUCUCAGGAUUCCAUUUAUUGAUUUUGCAAAGAAAAUCCCAUCACAUCUUGAUGUGACGCACUUCACCCUCGACCUCGACUUCUGCUGAUGAGUAGCAAGCACCGCUGCGCAAUAUUUCGCUCCAUAUUUGCAGUUUUCUUUUACGUGUCAACCACAACACCAGUUUAACCAUGGUGCAGUUUAAAAUUUUAAGAAUAUGUUCGUUUGGGCUGCUUAUAUUUCUUCUUGCAUCCUGUCAACCAAAAGGCAAACCUCGUCCCAUCGUGGUACAGGAAGGGCCAGAAAUUUCCACAAACCCUGGUCGCAACCAACUACCAACCACUAAGGUGGUUACUACAUCUUCACAAUCAUCACCUACUUCUGGUGGUCGUGCUUAACCACUUUCUCCAACGAGAACUACUACUCCGUCACCACUUUCUCCAACGAGAACUGCUACUGCAUCACCACUUUCUCCAACGAGAACUGCUACUCCGUCACCACUUUCUCCAACGAGAAGUACUACUCCGUCACCACUUGUUCCACCAGCUAAUACUGAUCUUGACACCUAGUUUGCAUAUGGUUUAAUGUUUUAAAAAGUCUUUCGGGUUUUUUGUACAAAAAUAUUUUUUUUCAAUCAAAAUUUAAACUCUUGUUAAAAUUAUAUUUUUAUAAUAAUGGCGUUCAAUUCGUGUGAACGAGUGCAAAAUAAUCAAUUUAGCACAUUUUAUAAGUUUCCUUUGUCAAAAAAAUUACUCCAGAAAAUCUCGAAAUUGAGCUGGUGUCACAGCAUGAGUCUUAAAAUGAAUAUGAGAUGUUCUGCUGAUAUAAUUAGCUCAUAAAACUGUUAAAAACUUUAAUCUUCUUGAAGGUGAAAUGUAAAUACAGUAGGAAAUUUAAGUUGAAAAAUA